AGAAAUCAAAUAUGCAGAUAUCGUAUAAUGGCGGGGAUAUGGCCCGCAAGUUUCUACCAAGCUACCGUAAAUGGCUUGACUACGGAUCAAUCUCAAUCGUUUG
rnacentral:ncRNA from 4 species